rnacentral:rRNA from 1 species
GUGGGGAAUCUUCCGCAAUGGACGAAAGUCUGACGGAGCAACGCCGCGUGAGUGAAGAAGGUUUUCGGAUCGUAAAGCUCUUUCGUUAGGGACGAACGUGCUCUUUGUGAAUAAUGAGGAGUAAUGACGGUACCUAAAUAAGAAGCCACGGCUAACUACGUGCCAGCAGCCGCGGUAAUACGUAGGUGGCAAGCGUUGUCCGGAAUUAUUGGGCGUAAAGCGCGCGCAGGCGGGAUAUCAAGUCUGUCUUAAAAGUGCGAGGCUCAACCUCGUGAGGGGACAGAAACUGGUAUUCUUGAGUGUCGGAGAGGAAAGUGGAAUUCCAAGUGUAGCGGUGAAAUGCGUAGAGAUUUGGAAGAACACCAGUGGCGAAGGCGACUUUCUGGACGAAAACUGACGCUGAGGCGCGAAAGCCAGGGGAGCGAACGGGAUUAGAAACCCCAGUAGUCC